UACGGAGGAUCCAAGCGUUAUCCGGAAUCAUUGGGUUUAAAGGGUCCGUAGGCGGUUUGGUAAGUCAGUGGUGAAAGCCCAUCGCUCGACGGUGGAACGGCCAUUGAUACUGCCAGACUUGAAUUAUUAGGAAGUAACUAGAAUAUGUAGUGUAGCGGUGAAAUGCUUAGAGAUUACAUGGAAUACCAAUUGCGAAGGCAGGUUGAUCU
rnacentral:rRNA from 1 species